rnacentral:rRNA from 1 species
GACGAACGCUGGCGGCGUGCUUAACACAUGCAAGUCGAACGGAAAGGCCCUGCUUGCAGGGUGCUCGAGUGGCGAACGGGUGAGUAACACGUGGGUGAUCUGCCCCUUACUUUGGGAUAAGCCUGGGAAACUGGGUCUAAUACUGGAUAGGACCAUGCUGUAGGUGGUGUGGUGGAAAGAUUAGUUUCGGUAAGGGAUGAGCUCGCGGCCUAUCAGCUUGUUGGUGGGGUAAUGGCCUACCAAGGCGUCGACGGGUAGCCGGCCUGAGAGGGUGGACGGCCACAUUGGGACUGAGAUACGGCCCAUACUCCUACGGGAGGCAGCAGUGGGGAAUAUUGCACAAUGGGCGCAAGCCUGAUGCAGCGACGCCGCGUGGGGGAUGACGGCCUUCGGGUUGUAAACUCCUUUCAGCCAUGACGAAGCCUUCGGGUGACGGUAGUGGUAGAAGAAGCACCGGCUAACUACGUG